CAGUAGAAGUCGAGGGCGAGGUCCGACUCCCGUGGAAGUCCGGACGAAGUUCACCUGCAGUAGAGGUCGGGGACGAUGUCCGGCUCCCGUAGGAGUUCGGACGAAGUUCACCUACAGUAGAGGUCGGGGACGAAGUCCGACUCCCGUAGGAGUCCGGACAAAAUUUACUUGCAGUAGAGGUCGGGGACGAAGUCCGACUCCCGUGGGAGUCCGUUUAUCGUGAAGAACCUGGUCGAUGCUGAUGGGGGUUUAUCCAUCGACAGAAUUCGAGAAUGCUGCGGAGGCUCAACCGCCAGAGAGGUUCGAAAAGAUGUCGUCGAA
rnacentral:lncRNA from 1 species